AUGCGCAGGGGUUUCCACGUGAGCGCCUGCGUUUCUUCUCCAAACUCCGCGAUGCCGCCGGAACGUAGGCGCCUGACGAAACCGGGCCGGAAAACCGGAAUGAGGCCGGACCGUAAGAAGCGCACGAAGGCAGCCGGUGUAGCCGGGCCCAGGACGGGCGGGCCGCCCCGAAAGGCCGCCCCUUCAUCCCAGCGGAAGGCGCCGGCGCGGCCCAGCGCGGCGGCCGCUGCGAUGGCCGUGGCGGCGGAGGAGGACGAGAGACUGCUCCGGCAGCGCAACCGCCUGACGCUGGAGGACGACAAGCCGGACGUGGAGCGUUGUCUGGAGGAGUUCAUCUUCGGCGACGUCGAGGACGACGAGGACGCGCUGCUGCGGCGCCUGCGGGGCCCGCCGGCUCCUGUUUGUGAAGACUCCGGUGACUCGGAAGUGGAAAAUGAAGCAAAAGGUGGUUUUCCAACUUCAAAGAAGCCAGUGUGGGUGGAUGAAGACGAUGAAGAUGAAGAAAUGGUUGACAUGAUGAACAAUCGAUUUCGGAAAGAUAUGAUGAAAAACGCAAGUGAAAGUAAACUUUCGAAAGAGAAUCUUCAAAAGAGACUUAAAGAGGAAUUCCAGCAUGCCAUGGGGGGCGUACCUGCCUGGGCAGAGAAUAACAAGCGGAAAACAUCUUCAGAUGAUGAAAGUGAAGAUGAAGAUGAUUUGUUGCAAAGGACUGGAAAUUUCCUCUCCACCUCGGCUUCUCUUCCAAGAGGAAUCUUGAAGAUGAAGAACUGCCAGCAUGCUAAUGCGGAACGGCCUACUGUUGCUCAGAUCUCAUCUGUGCAGUUCCAUCCGUGUGCGCAGGUGGUGAUGGUUGCUGGGUUAGACAACGCCGUGUCACUGUUUCAGGUUGAUGGAAAAACAAAUCCUAAAAUCCAGAGCAUUUAUUUGGAAAAGUUUCCAAUAUUUAAGGCUUGUUUUAAUGCUAAAGGAGAAGAGGUUUUAGCCACAAGUACCCACAGCAAGGUUAUUUAUGUCUAUGAUAUGUUAGCUGGAAAGUUAAUUCCUGUGCAUCAAGUGAGAGGUUUGAAAGAAAGGAUAGUUAGGAGCUUUGAAGUCUCUCCAGACGGCUCCUUCUUGCUCAUAAAUGGCAUUGCCGGGUAUCUGCAUUUGCUCUCAAUGAAGACCAAAGAACUGAUUGGUAGCAUGAAAAUUAAUGGAAGAGUCGCAGCAUCCACAUUCUCUUCAGAUAGUAAAAAAAUAUUUACCUCUUCAGGUGAUGGAGAAGUGUAUGUUUGGGAUGUAAACUCUAGACGGUGCCUUAACAGAUUUGUGGAUGAGGGCAGCUUGUAUGGAUUAAGCAUCGCCGCAUCCAGGAAUGGACAGUAUGUGGCUUGUGGUUCCAAUUGUGGAGUGGUUAACAUUUACAACCAAAAUUCUUGUCUCCAAGAAACAAACCCAAAGCCAAUCAAAGCUAUAAUGAACUUGGUUACAGGUGUUACUUCUCUGACCUUCAACUCUACUACAGAAAUCUUGGCAAUUGCUUCAGAUAAAAUGAAAGAUGGUGUCAGAUUGGUUCACCUGCCUUCCUGUACCGUGUUUUCUAACUUCCCAGUCACUAAGAAGAAUAUUUCUCACAUUCACACCAUGGAUUUUUCCCCCAGAAGUGGAUACUUUGCCUUGGGGAAUGAGAAGGGCAAGGCCCUGAUGUACAGGUUACACCACUAUUCAGACUUCUGAAGAGACUAUCUGAAGUAAGAAAAUCCUUUUUAUGAACGAUACUGACUUGAAGGACAUACCAUUGCUGUCCGCUUUCAGAGCUGUCCCUAGGUUGCUGCAUCGUCAGGCCGUGGGCUGGGCGUGGGCCAGGAGGCUGGCCCUGGGCCUGCCUUGUGAUUGCCUACCCAGAUGGCAGCAGUCCAGCUUUGUUUUCCGAGAUCCAGAGGAGCCCCAAGAGAAGCCAGUCCUGUCACAUCUUUUCAGAGGCCUUCCUGAAGGCGUGCUAAUUGAGGGCUAAUGAUUAUACUAGAGUCAACUUUGCUUCAGUUAACUGCACUGUUUUAAUAAACACCUGGCAGCUUU